GGAGGGGUCCUAUAGUGGCCAUUAGAACAGCUUGGAAAGCUGUGCCUCGCAAGGGGCUCGUGGGUUCGAGUCCCACCCCCUCCGCAA
rnacentral:tRNA from 1 species